CACACACUCCUGCACGCACCCUGAUUUUCCGUGUCUUUUUUCUUGGUGACAGACCGGGGUGAUGUCGUUAAAGGACCGGGGUGUUGGAUGGAAAGGACAUUUUCCUGUCAUUAAAGGAUAAAGGGUCCGGUUAGCCCUGACCAUUAUCCGUUUCCAAUUCACCAACGCAAAGACGCUUGCCCGAUCCAUCAAAACUCCGGGUCAGUGCUCUAAAAUGAGUCUCUCUGGGGAGAGAGAGGAGGGGGCACCGCCUCUAAAAUGAGUCUCUCUGGGGAACAUGACACCAAAACUAAGAGACCAAUCCAGCAGGAGAGACCAGCCUCCCCUGUUCCCAGCUGUGUGUCCAUGAAGAGUGACUGGUCUA